AUAUUUAGAGUUUGAUCCUGGCUCAGGACGAACGCUGGCGGUGCGCCUAAUGCAUGCAAGUCGAACGAGCGACCCGGGCUUGCCCGGUUAGCUAGUGGCGGACGGCUGAGUAACACGUAAGUAAUCUGCCCCGAAGAGGGGGAUAAUCUAGAGAAAUCUGGCCUAAUACCCCGUACCUUCCUCUCCAGCCUGCUGGAUUGGAAGAAAGGCCUAGGCCGCUUUGGGAGGAGCUUGCGGCUUAUCAGGUAGUUGGUGGGGUAAUGGCCUACCAAGCCGAAGACGAGUAACCGGUGUGAGAGCACGAUCGGUCAGAGGGGGACUGAGACACGGCCCCCACUCCUACGGGAGGCAGCAGCAGGGAAUCUUGCGCAAUGGGCGAAAGCCUGACGCAGCGACACCGCGUGGAGGAUGAAGGUCUUAGGAUC
rnacentral:rRNA from 1 species